GCUCUGGCCCGCGGAAGAAUGGGGGCACAGCCUAGAGCGCGCUCGGUUAAACUUAACUGAAAGGGAGCUCCGGUCAGCACUGGUUUAAGUGGAAGCGCUAGCGCUGUGAUUCUUUAACGUUUUACAGUCAGAACCUACGUGUUGAAAACCGUAGCCCUUCGCCUGAGAUGGACGAGGACCCUUAACUCCCGAUAGCUGGGAACUAUUGCAGAGACCCACUGGAGUCAGUGAACCCCACUCCACUUAUAACUGUCAGCGUCGAAUAGCACAAAAGCUGACACUGUCUAAACUGUGUGCUGUAACUGAACAUCUGUAGAAACACACCAACCGCUGCUCCAAAGUUCCUCAUUUGCAGGUGACUCCCUUCCAACCCCACAGUUAACUUGGAACUUCGACUAAUUCCAGAUGAAAAAGCCGAAGUUCAGAGAAGACUUGUUCCUGGGGCCAGCAAGUGGCAUGGUGGGUAAGGAACUGGAUGCCCACAUGACCA